GGCAGUGGAAACUGAUGGGCUUGAGUGUGGUAGGGGCAGAGGGAAUUCCCGGUGUAGCGGUGAAAUGCGUAGAUAUCGGGAAGAACACCAGUGGCGAAGGCGCUCUGCUGGGCCAUAACUGACGCUCAUGGACGAAAGCCAGGGGAGCGAAAGGGAUUAGAUACCCCUGUAGUCCUGGCCGUAAACGAUGAACACUAGGUGUCGGGGGAAUCGACCCCCUCGGUGUCGUAGCUAACGCGUUAAGUGUUCCGCCUGGGGAGUACGCACGCAAGUGUGAAACUCAAAGGAAUUGACGGGGGCCCGCACAAGCGGUGGAGUAUGUGGUUUAAUUCGAUGCAACGCGAAGAACCUUACCAGGGUUUGACAUCCUGCGAACCUUUAAGAAAUUAGAGGGUGCCUUCGGGAACGCAGUGACAGGUGGUGCAUGGCUGUCGUCAGCUCGUGUCGUGAGAUGUUGGGUUAAGUCCCGCAACGAGCGCAACCCACGUUUUUAGUUGCCAGCAUUCAGUUGGGCACUCUAGAAAGACCGCCGGUGAUAAACCGGAGGAAGGUGUGGAUGACGUCAAGUCAUCAUGCCCCUUACAUCCUGGGCUACACACGUACUACAAUGCUGCGGACAAAGGGCAGCAAGCUCGCGAGAGCAAGCAAAUCCCAUAAACCGUGGCUCAGUUCAGAUCGUAGGCUGCAACUCGCCUACGUGAAGUAGGAAUCGCUAGUAAUCGCAGGUCAACAUACUGCGGUGAAUACGUUCCCGGGCCUUGUACACACCGCCCGUCACAUCAUGGAAGUUGGCCAUGCCCGAAGUCGUUACUCCAACCCUUGUGGAGGAGGACGCCGAAGGUGGGGCUAAUGACUGGGGUGAAGUCGUAACAAGGUAACC
rnacentral:rRNA from 1 species